GACGAACGCUGGCGGCGUGCUUAACACAUGCAAGUCGAACGGAAAGGCCCUGCUUUUGUGGGGUGCUCGAGUGGCGAACGGGUGAGUAACACGUGAGUAACCUGCCCUUGACUUUGGGAUAACUUCAGGAAACUGGGGCUAAUACCGGAUAGGAGCUCCUGCUGCAUGGUGGGGGUUGGAAAGUUUCGGCGGUUGGGGAUGGACUGGCGGCUUAUCAGCUUGUUGGUUGGGUAGUGGCUGACCAAGGCUUUGACGGGUAGCCGGCCUGGGAGGGUGAGCGGCCACAUUGGGACUGAGAUACGGCCCAGACUCCUACGGGAGGCAGCAGUGGGGAAUAUUGCACAAUGGGCGGAAGCCUGAUGCAGCAACGCCGCGUGCGGGAUGACGGCCUUCGGGUUGUAAACCGCUUUCGCCUGUGACGAAGCGUGAGUGACGGUAAUGGGUAAAGAAGCACCGGCUAACUACGUG
rnacentral:rRNA from 1 species